GCUAAGUUGUAAACAUUGAUGGCUUCUCCCACCAAGCCCUCCGCCAGAACAUUACAAGUGAAAAACUUAAAAUUCAAAGGACUUGGCGGUGUCCCACCUCGACCUAGAGGAGCCUGUCCUGUAAUCGAUACCCCCCGCUCAACCUGACCUCCACUAGCACACUUCAGCCUAUAUACCGCCGUCGACAGUCUACCCCAUGAGGGCGAAAUAGUAGACAAAAUAGCAAUUAUAUCGCUAAUACGUCAGGUCAAGGUGUAGCAAAUGUUGAGGAAGUGAUUGGCUACAUUUUUUGCCACAAAAUAAACGAAAUACAACAUGAAAUCAUGUACGAAGGUGAAUUUAGUAGUAAAAUGGGUUAGAGUACCCACUUUAACAUCGCUCUGGGACGCGC
rnacentral:rRNA from 1 species